CAUUCGGAUUCUGGCAUUUGAGGGCGAAGGUGGUUCGUCGCGAAUAAAAAUUUUCUAAGUGUUCUAUAUCCAAAAAAAAAAAAAAAAAUAAGAUUCUUGUGACAAAGGCCGUGUGAGUGGGUGCAUGUGUGUGCUAACUAAUAGCACUUUAAACUAAUUCCUUUUUGCGUCGCGUAAUUUAACACAUAAUUUUGCUGCAACAAGCUGGAAGGCAGCCCAAGCCUUUAUAGUCCGUUAUCGCGAACACUACUGAAAAUACAUGGCAAUCACAACUGCCUUCUGUUACACACAUGCUGUAUACACAUCAUCAUCCACACAAUCAAAAUCACUAAUACACGGCUUCAGUUAACAAAUUGCACUUGGAGAAUCAAACGCACUAAACAACACAAGCAGAAACUACUACACGGGUUUUGGCCAGCGGUACUACUUUGUGUAGCAGUGGAAAUACUACAGACACAUUAGCAGUUACACACCUGUUUGAGCAUACCAUACCUGGAGGAACAACCUGACUAUAGGGACUGUCGUCCUUUCAGUCAUAGAUUUCAGAGCCCAAAAAAAAAAAAAA